AUGUACCCACGUACAUUCCGGUUCCUCCGCGCCGUCCGCACCCACCUGACGGCUGCUCGCUACGUUUCGUUAGCC
rnacentral:sRNA from 1 species